AAUCAUUUGGGCUUAAUUUGCUUGGCACUAGUGGAAUUCUUUGUUCAGGAAACAGUGCAUGGAGCCAUUGAGUCAAAGAAUUCCCCAGUACCAAGCAAAUU
rnacentral:pre_miRNA from 1 species